AAUACUAACCCGAGACAAUUUUAAUUCCUUAAAAUUUUUACUAAUAUCAUAUAUCCUUCUAUUAAUUGACGGAUCCAUUACUAUGAUGUAAUUAACAAAAACAAAAAAGAGAAGAAUAUACGAAUUGAUGAUGGAUUAACUAUAAAAAAGGUCUGGGUUCUUACGAUUCAAGAUUAGGAAGAAAUAGUCGAAUAUGGAUUAAGAAUAAAAAGAAGAAAAUAAAAAAAUAUGCUGGGUUGAGAAGAUUCAAAAUUAUGAAGAAAUAGUCGAAUGAAGACGAUUAAGGAAAAAAAAUAAGUGAAAGUUGACUUUGGUAAGAACAAAACGGUAGAAUGCAUGGGAAGUUACCCUGCUUCCUAAUUUUUUGAAUUUUGAAAUUCAAAAUUUCAAAAUUUGUUCUUUUAUUUAAAUUUAAUUAAAUUUAAUAAUUCAAAAUCAAAAAGCUGAUUAAAAGGUUGAGUGUUUAAAUGGAUAAAAUUUAAAAUUCAAAAACUGAUUUAAGAGGUUGAGUGUUUUAAUGGAGAAAAAAUAGGCAUUAAAAUUGGUAAAUGUGUAUUAUAGAAGAGAGUGUAAUAUAUCUAAAAACUUACACUAAAAUAAAAAAAAUAAGAAAUUAUGUAAUAUUUAAAAAAAGUAAGAAAAAUUAGAGAAUAUAAAAAUUAUAAUUAUGUAUUUAAGUUAUUUUUACUUAAAGAAAUGUUUGUCCAUUAAGUUAGGUGGUGGAUAAAAAUGUUAGUGGUAAUUUUCAGAUUUCCUUUGGUCUUGAAAGACUUCUUUUUAGUGUUCAUAUUUUCCAGCAAGUUACCAAAGUUCAGCCGAAAUCCGACAAGUCCACCGCCCAAAAGACCCGGUUGCUCUAACCCAUUUCUUUUUCCAUUUUUUCUGGUGAAAAGUUAACCCAACGCUUCUCCUCUUCGCUGCUGUUGUCAGCAGCUCUCUUUAGCUGCAGCAAACAACAACAAGUGACUCCCGGCCAAACCACCACCUCAAAUUCCCAAAACUGCCAGCAAACAACAACUAAACUAAACCCCAGCCUCCCUUUAUCUUCCUUUUUCAGUGAGCUUUUGCAAACAACCAGACCCUUUAUCACUUUAUUUGCGUCCAUUCUUGCCAUGAAAAUCAUCUACGGUGAAAGCCUCAUCGCUUUUCAGUUCUAACCAGCCACCAAAUCGCUGCUAAACCCAACCCCGUUCCUUCACGUACAGCUAACCAAACAGAACCCUACCCCUUUCCCCUUUUUUUUGUAUUUUCUACUUGUUUCUUUGUAGGUCUCAAGCGAGCUCGACUCCAGCUACAUUGCCGGUGAAAUGGAUAUCCAACCAAUGCCAUCACUGGCCGGCCAACAUAAAAAAAUAGCAACGCCAACUCCGGCGAACACAAUCAGUGAGUUCACAAGUCCAAAUCAGCAACACAACUUGAUUCCGGCAAAUGGGGUAAGUGUAAUGACAUGAGUAAGAGGAAAAUUAAGGGAAAGAGUAAGGGAAAGAGUACGGAAACAAGCUUAUCUUCCCUGUUCCAGUCACUUGAUACUAUUGAUUGUAAGGCUUUACAUUAUUUUUGAUUUAACUGAAUACAUUGAUUUAACUAUUUAGUUGAGUUAAUGUACUUUCUUGCAGUAAAUCCUUCAUACAACUAAGGGUGAUCAUUCAUUUAUAAGGCAAAUCUCGUGUUAGAUAUUCAGCUUGAUAGUUUUUUAUUAGUUGAGCUUGUCAUUUUCAAUCACUAAUUUUCUAUUGAGAUCAAUAACUUUAUUGCCUUAUAUCUUUUGUCUUCUUAUUAGCUUAUUCUCAAUACUAAAAAAAGUUCAACUGGAGUACUUUAAGAAGGGCCGUUGAAAGAGCUAAAACUUUGAUGAACCUAUAUACUUUUGGCUGAAUAAUUCUUGAAGACACCGGUAACCAGGAUAAAUAUCUAGUGCCUUGUUGAUCCAAUUGAGCACUCAAAGUCAGUUGUAAUUCAGGAUUUGAGCAGAGCUAAGAGGCAAUAACCAGGAUUGGCAUCCAGUGCCUCGUUGAUCCUGCUUGAGCACUCAAAGUCAUGGUGAACCUCCUUGCAUUCGGAGGACUCUUUUAUUGCUUUUAGUCUUUACAAUUGUCGAAUGUUGAAGGGUUUUCCCCAACAUUCAUCUUAGUAUAAUAGAGGCUUCAUAGACGAUAGUCAGUCAGAUGAUCAGUUUUAAGUCUCUAUUUAUCUCUUAUUUCAGAUAUUUUAUAUUGAGACUUAAAUGCCAUUUUGUCUAAGACAUUUAUUUUAAAGUUAUCCUUGUGAGAACAAUUCUUGUUUCUCAUUCAGUUAAGUCUUCCCCUAAGUUAACUAAGUCAGACCAAGGGUUCGCUCAAGGCCAGCAAUGGUCAUUGGAUGCCGUCUACGUCCAAGGUGUAGACUUGGGGCGUGACAAACUUGGUAUCAGAGCAUAGGGUUCAAGAGUCCUAGGUAGUCUAUGAAGUUGAACCUGUAGAGUAUUGGUCAUUGGUGUGAAGCGCGCCACAUCUAUGAUUAGUAGGCUAAAAUAGGAGGAAUCCCUCACUUCUUUCAUACUUUUUUUCAUGCGUUAGAGUUUAUCUAUAAAAAUAUCUCUCUAAUUCGUGCUUGCACGUAUUUCAAAUAACCAUUCCUCCACUCAGAGCAGCAAGAGCUCGUCCAACUAGGAUGAAUGUUGAACCUCAUGAACAAGAGUUACACAAUGCACCUGAAGUGCAACCUCAAGGGGAAAUUACCAAUGUUGAGUUUUUGGAGGCUAUCCAGAUGUUAAUCCAAGCGGUGACUAACCAAGUCGGGCCAUUGAGAGGAGCUUAACAAGAGAAGGUUGACACUUCGAUGAUUUGCUUAAUUCUAAGAAUGAAUCCUCCCAUUUUCACCCGAUCGAGCACUACAGAGGAUCCAAAAAACUUUAUGGAAGAGUUGAAGAUGGUUUUUGAUGUGAUGCAUGUCAUUGAUUUUGAGAGAGUCGAGCUAGUUGCAUACCAACUGAAAAAGGUGUCUAGGACUUGGUUCGACCUGUGGAAGGAGGGCAGAGAUAAGGAUGCACCACAUCCCUAAAAGAGUCAAAGGUACGAGAGUUCCUUACUUUGAAACAUGACUCCUUGAGUGUUCAUAAGUAUGGGUUGAAGUUCACCCAACUGUCUUGCUAUACUCCAGAAAUGGUUAAGGAUAUGAGGAGCAGAAUGAGAUUUUUUGUCGUUGACUUGGGUCGUGCAUCUAGCAAAAGGUCAGAGUUGUAAUGCUGAUAGAUGACAUGGACAUAUUCCGAUUGAUGGUUUAUGUGCAGAAAGUUGAAUAGCAGAUGCUGAGAUGCAUAGUGGAGUAUAGGUACAAGAAAGACAAGACUAAGAAUGAGUCUGGGCAGCAAAAAGGUGGUUCGCAUUGGUUACAAUUUCAUAAACAAAAGAGGCAUGCACCAUCAUCUACUAGUGGACCCGCGCCCAGAAACAGAGGUGAGUAUAAUGGCUAGAAUUCGUAGCACUUCAAGGCUAGACAACCCCUAUAAAGUAGUGUGGCACAAGGAGAUAGUUGGGCUACCACAUGUGGUAGGUGUGGUAAAAACCACGCCAGUAAGUGUCGUGAUGGCCAAUCAGGUUGUUUCAUGUGCAGUCAAGAGGGUCACUUCAUGAAGAGUUCCUAAGUAUAAUUAGGGUGGUGGAAAUUCGGGCAACAGAGUGUAAUUUUCAUCAGUUGCUCCACCAAACAUGGUGCUCCUGGAGGAGC